UACGAGUGGCUCAAGCGUUAUCCGGAAUUAUUGGGCGUAAAGAGCUCGUAGGCGGUUUGUCGCGUCUGCUGUGAAAACUCGGGGCUUAACCCCGGGCCUGCAGUGGGUACGGGCAGACUAGAGUGCGGUAGGGGAGACUGGAAUUCCUGGUGUAGCGGUGAAAUGCGCAGAUAUCAGGAGGAACACCAAUUGCGAAGGCAGCUCGCUGGGACGUUACUGACGCUGAGACGCGAAAGCGUGGGGAGCAAACAGG
rnacentral:rRNA from 1 species